GCUGUUGGCUCCUACGACUUUCCGUGCAGCAAAGAAGAAGAAGCGCAAAGAGAGCAGAAAAGAAACGAACGAUAUAUAAAAAAACAAAACGAAGAAAGUUUACUAAAGGAAGAAGAAGGACUGCCUUCUUAUGAUCAAACAAUGCGCAAUAAAAAUUUGUACAAAAAGUUACGUCCAUCGAAAAUAGGAUUUUCCAAGCGUAUUAUAAUGACUCCUUCCGUUCUUUAUGAAGGCAGCCGAGAGUUUCUGGAGAAUAGUCACGACUUGACUCCAAAUACUAAAGAAGACCAUCAAUAUUGCGCCAAUCAGAGAUGCGCCUGUUGUCCUGGGAACCAACCAAGGAAGAGAGAUUUUGAGUUGGCCAGAGAAAUUAUUGCCGCCGAUUUUGUAAGAAAUUGGGAAAAGGAAAAUUAUAUUCGAAAUAGACUUAAUAAUCAGGAUAUCCGAAAUCGAAGCCUAGGGAAUUUUUCUUUAUUGAAAAGAUCUCUUUCUAAUCCUCAAAUUGCUUA